rnacentral:rRNA from 1 species
GUUUGACCUCAAAUCAGGUAGGAAUACCCGCUGAACUUAAGCAUAUCAAUAAGCGGAGGAAAAGAAACCAACAGGGAUUGCCUUAGUAGCGGCGAGUGAAGCGGCAAAAGCUCAAAUUUGAAAUCUGGCACCUUCGGUGUCCGAGUUGUAAUUUGAAGAUUGUAACCUUGGGGUUGGCUCUUGUCUAUGUUU